rnacentral:rRNA from 1 species
AAUGGGCGAAAGCCUGACGGAGCAACGCCGCGUGAGGGAUGAAGGCCUCUGGGCUGUAAACCUCUUUUAUCAAGGAAGAAGAUCUGACGGUACUUGAUGAAUAAGCCACGGCUAAUUCCGUGCCAGCAGCCGCGGUAAUACGGGAGUGGCAAGCGUUAUCCGGAAUUAUUGGGCGUAAAGCGUCCGCAGGCGGCCCUUCAAGUCUGCUGUUAAAAAGUGGAGCUUAACUCCAUCAUGGCAGUGGAAAUUGUUGGGCUUGAGUGUGGUAGGGGCAGAGGGAAUUCCCGGUGUAGCGGUGAAAUGCAUAGAUAUUACACAGAACACCGAUAGCGAAGGCAGCUCACUAGGCCUGGAUUGACGCUCAGGGACGAAAGCGUGGGGAUCAAACAGGAUU